AUUGAACGCUGGCAGCAUGCUUUACACAUGCAAGUCGAACGGUAACAGGGUGCUUGCACCGCUGACGAGUGGCGAACGGGUGAGUAAUGCGUCGGAACGUGCCGAGUAGUGGGGGAUAACGCAGCGAAAGUUGUGCUAAUACCGCAUACGUACUGAGGUAGAAAGUGGGGGACCUUCGGGCCUCACGCUAUUCGAGCGGCCGACGUCUGAUUAGCUAGUAGGUGGGGUAAAGGCUCACCUAGGCGACGAUCAGUAGCGGGUCUGAGAGGAUGAUCCGCCACACUGGGACUGAGACACGGCCCAGACUCCUACGGGAGGCAGCAGUGGGGAAUUUUGGACAAUGGGCGAAAGCCUGAUCCAGCCAUGCCGCGUGUCUGAAGAAGGCCUUCGGGUUGUAAAGGACUUUUGUCGGGGAGGAAAUCCCCAGCGUUAAUACCGCUGGGGGAUGACAGUACCUGAAGAAUAAGCACCGGCUAACUACGUGCCAGCCGCCGCAGUAAUAC
rnacentral:rRNA from 1 species